ensembl:ncRNA R07D5.3 ncRNA
GCUCAUAUUGACUUCAAUAUAAUGAUGAAAACGUCGAAACUCAACACCGUUGACGGUGGAAAGAUAGUAUAACAGAAAUGAAUAUUUCACUUGUUGAAACCUUUUUUCUCACACUUUUCUCG